GGACUUCGCCCCGGGCGCCGUCCCCGGCGGGCCCCGGCUUCCGCGCGCACCCCUGCCGCGCGGUUCUCGGGCAGUCGGCGCAAGUCUCAACCGGCUCGGAACGAGAGGCACCUGCCCGUCCGCCAGCCUCAAAACAGCGCGCGGUGCCGCUCCCGGGAUACCUGGGUUCCCGCUGGUCCUGCCACGACCCCCGGGGCGCUCCUCGCUGCGGCCUUAUUAGGAGGCGGCCCCCGCAGGGAGCAGGAAGCAGAAAGUCUCUGCAAACCCUUCCAGAAGGCGGACGACGGUGGAGUGCUGAAUUAUACCCAUAUGGCCAACAGAUGGGGACCCUGGGCUGCAGGAGCUGUAGGCCCCCCCGGGAGAACCUCUCUUCUCUGCCCUGCGCGGGCUCUUGAGGACCGUGGUCAAAGGAGCCCAAGUCUUGCAUCGCGGCAUCCUGACACACAUUAAAUUCCCUGUGAAGAGCAGUUGGAAGCGUGAGGAGAAGGGUGAUUCCCAUCAUCUGUGGUCGUUACGUUCUGUAACGUUGUGAGCGCUGAAACAGUGAGCACUGAACCAUCCCUCUGUCCCUGGUGGAAAGACACGGUUAGAUUCCAGGGAGCCUCACAAGUUUCGACUGUGGAUCAAGACAUGACCUUCUAUCAUCCGUGUUUCUGUGUAAAGACACCUGUCGUGUGCUGUUAAUUCCUUGGCAUUAAGCUCACAGUCAACAACACUGUAAGGCGCGCCCGAAGGACGCUUACCAAACACACAUCUUCUCCAUCACAGCCUCUCCCGUGAUCGGGAGCCUCGGACAGCCCUUUAGCACGUGCUGGGGAGCCGUCUUCAUGACAUCGCCAACAAAAUGCAUGAAAACGUGGCGAGGAUGACCUUAGACAGGCCAUAAGAAGGAUGUCUGCUUACCGUAAGGGAGCUGAACCAGGAGGUUGAGCUGCCCCUCAGCCAGAAACUCACGCUUCGGGUGACUCAGCUUUAAAAGCGGCUCGCGCAUGUCUGCUAAUGACCAAAGGACGGAGCAUGUUCCUUUGCGAUUACAAAUGCUUGAGCAAGCAGGCAGAUUUGCAAGUACGGAACCUGAAUCAUCAGCAUGACUGUAGCUGAGCUGAAUGGAAGGGCCCUAAGAAGGGUAUCAUAGCUUUUUCUCCGUACAUUCCUCAGGGAAGGGAUGGGAACUUCAGUAUUUUUUAACUUUCAGGAUGGCAUCAAUACUUUGGGGCAUAACACCUUGCACAAGUAACACUGAAAUUAUAGUUUGUCUUGAUCUCCU
rnacentral:lncRNA from 1 species